rnacentral:rRNA from 1 species
AGGGCACCACCAGGAGUGGAGCCUGCGGCUUAAUUUGACUCAACACGGGAAAACUCACCCGGCCCGGACACCGUAAGGAUUGACAGACUGAGAGCUCUUUCUUAAUUCGGUGGGUGGUGGCGCAUGGCCGUUCUUAGUUGGUGGAGCGAUUUGUCUGGUUAAUUCCGAUAACGAACGAGACUCUGGCCUAUUAAAUAGACGAUAUAUUUAAAAGUAUAUCGCGCUUCUUAGAGGGACAAGCGGCGUCUAGCCGCAUGAAAUAGAGCAAUAACAGGUCUGUGAUGCCCUUAGAUGUCCGGGGCCGCACGCGCGCUACACUGAAAGAAUCAGUGUGCGUUACGCCUAGUUCGGAAGAACCGGGUAACCCAAGUAAAUUCUUUCGUGCUUGGGAUAGGGAAUUGCAAUUAUUUCCCUUAAACGAGGAAUUCCCAGUAAAUGCGGGUCAUAAGCUCGCGUUGAUUACGUCCCUGCCCUUUGUACACACCGCCCGUCACUACUACCGAUUGGAUGACUUAGUGA